rnacentral:rRNA from 1 species
GGAGUUGUGUUGAAAGCUUGCUGGAUAUACAACUUAGUGGCGGACGGGUGAGUAACACGUGAGUAACCUGCCUCUCAGAGUGGAAUAACGUUUGGAAACGAACGCUAAUACCGCAUAACGUGAGAAGAGGGCAUCCUCUUUUUACCAAAGAUUUAUCGCUGAGAGAUGGGCUCGCGGCCGAUUAGGUAGUUGGUGAGAUAACAGCCCACCAAGCCGACGAUCGGUAGCCGGACUGAGAGGUUGAUCGGCCACAUUGGGACUGAGACACGGCCCAGACUCCUACGGGAGGCAGCAGCGGGGGAUAUUGCACAAUGGGGGAAACCCUGAUGCAGCGACGCCGCGUGAGGGAAGACGGUUUUCGGAUUGUAAACCUCUGUCUUUAGGGACGAAAAAAUGACGGUACCUAAGGAGGAAGCCACGGCUAACUACGUGCCAGCAGCCGCGGUAAUACGUAGGUGGCAAGCGUUGUCCGGAAUUACUGGGUGUAAAGGGAGCGUAGGCGGGGAGACAAGUUGAAUGUCUAAACUAUCGGCUUAACUGAUAGUCGCGUUCAAAACUAUCACUCUUGAGUGCAGUAGAGGUAGGCGGAAUUCCUAGUGUAGCGGUGAAAUGCGUAGAUAUUAGGAGGAACACCAGUGGCGAAGGCGGCCU